ACAUACGACCAUAGCUGUAGGAGUACUUCUGGAUCCCGUUCGAUCUCCGAGCGACAAGCCUGCAAGCGGCAGAUUAGUAGUUGGGUCGGUGACGACCAGCGAACACCGGCUGUUGUAUGUC
rfam:Tolypocladium ophioglossoides CBS 100239 scaffold_2, whole genome shotgun sequence.